UCUAAUAUGGCAGACUAAUGUAUUGGUUUUAAACACCAAAUAUAAAGUUUAAACUUUUUUUAGAA
rnacentral:tRNA from 1 species